rnacentral:rRNA from 1 species
AACGAACGCUGGCGGCAUGCCUAACACAUGCAAGUCGAACGAGACCUUCGGGUCUAGUGGCGCACGGGUGCGUAACGCGUGGGAACCUGCCCUUAGGUUCGGAAUAACUCCCCGAAAGGGGUGCUAAUACCGGAUAAUGUCUUCGGACCAAAGAUUUAUCGCGUUUGGAUGGGCCCGCGUUGGUUUAGCUAGUUGGUAGGGUAAAAGCCUACCAAGGCGACGUUCCAUAGCUGGUCUGAGAGGCAGAGCAGCCACACUGGGACUGGGACACGGCCCAGACUCCUACGGGAGGGAGCAGUGGGGAAUAUAGGAAAAUGGGCGAAAGCCUGAUCCAGCAAUGCCGCGUGAGUGAUGAAGGCCUUAGGGUUGUAAAGCUCUUUUACCCGGGAUGAUAAUGACAGUACCGGGAGAAUAAGCUCCGGCUAACUCCGUG